UACGUAGGGGGCGAGCGUUGUCCGGAUUUAUUGGGCGUAAAGAGCGUGUAGGCGGCUUGGUAGGUCUCGCGUCAAAACCUGCGGCUCAACCGCAGUUCGCGUGGGAAACCACCUAGCUAGAGUCCGGAAGAGGAGAGUGGAAUUCCUGGUGUAGCGGUGAAAUGCGCAGAUAUCAGGAAGAACACCCGUGGCUAAGGCGGCUCUCUAGUACGGUACUGACGCUGAGACGCGAAAGCGUGGGGAGCGAACAGG
rnacentral:rRNA from 1 species